CGCCUGUUUAUCAAAAACAUCGCCUCUUGUAAGAAACUAAAAUAAGAGGUACCGCCUGCCCUGUGACUAGUAGUUUAACGGCCGCGGUAUUUUGACCGUGCAAAGGUAGCGCAAUCACUUGCCUUUUAAAUGAAGGCCUGUAUGAAUGGCACGACGAGGGCUUAACUGUCUCCUCCCCCCAGUCAAUGAAAUUGAUCCCCCCGUGCAGAAGCGGGGAUAGCAACAUAAGACGAGAAGACCCUGUGGAGCUUUAGACUGCAAACAGACCAUGUCAACGAUAACAAACAAGAAAAUUAAACAAAUUGGCCACUGUUUCUUUGUCUUUGGUUGGGGCGACCGCGGGAUACUGAAAAACUCCCACGAGGAUUGAGAACCCUGUUCUUAUAACCAAGAGCUUCUCCUCUAAGUAACAGAACAUCUGACCUUUAUGAUCCGGCCUGGCCGAUCAACGGACCGAGUUACCCCAGGGAUAACAGCGCAAUCCUCUUUUAGAGUCCAUAUCGACAAGAGGGUUUACGACCUCGAUGUUGGAUCAGGACAUCCUAAUGGUGCAGCCGCUAUUAAGGGUUUGUUUGUUCAACAAUUAAAGUCCUACAUGAUCUGAGUUCAGACCGG
rnacentral:rRNA from 1 species